CCCCGAAUCACCUGUUUAUUUGCGGCCUGCCAAUGCCUAAAGGGUGGUUCAGAGUCCAUCUCGCGACGGUGGUAGAAGGGUGCGGCCUACCAUCUCCCCUCUACACUGGCCACUCCUCCCGGAUUGGAGCGGCAACCACAGCCGCUGAACCAGGGUUGCCGGUCGCGUCUAUCAAACGGCUGGGAAGGCGGUCUUCCACAGCUUACGAAUCCUACAUCCGGUUGAAUUCAUGGUUCUUCCUUCAAGCGCACACGAUGCUCUAACGUCGGUUAAGGCAGGUUUAUCACGUUUGCUACUACAGCUGUUUUUGGCGGCCUGUUUCCAUUCUAGUUUUAGUCUUAGUGUCAAGGUGUCAUUUUUAUUAGUUUAGUCACGUUCAUACUCUUUCCAGUGAUAUCGAAAUUCCGUUUAGGUAUUAUCAAAGAUACAAGUGCGUAGAUUUGUUAAAUAAGGUAAACGGUCGAAAAUUGAUGUAGUUAUGUCUCAACAGUUGAAGUUCCAGUUGGACAAAAUAACGUUAUUACAGUUUAUCGCCCAGUUUAGGUCAACGGAAAUGAAGACAUUUUAGCAGUCUUAUUUUGUAAAACACUUUCAGUCUCGUUUGUAUUCGCCAACAACAUUGCACUACGUAUUUAAUUAUAGUUAUUGUCAUAUGACCAGCAUUGUUCUCCUCACGCGAUAAAGGUUCGUUGAUGACGACAUUUAGUCAUAAUUUUCGGUGUCAAAAGCAACACUAUUUGCAGCUACUGGUGGUGGUGGUUAUCAGGUACUAAACUCAUAAAGCAAAAUUUGGCUAUGUAACUCAAGGUUAACCUGCAGCAACCCCGGCAAGUUUGACCACGGUUAGGGUUAAAUAAAACUCAAGGUUCGCAGCGGCAACCCCGGUGAGUGGGUUGGCCAAAGCGUAGCGGUAACAACUCGGGCACUCGUAACUAUGACCACGUCGGUGGCACGUUAUCUAUUACUCAUGGUUGACUGCAGUAACCCCGGUGAGUGCGUCGACCAUGUCAACGCACAAUUGGGGCACAACUCAGGCCCUCGUGAGUUUGUCGCACACGUCGGUGCGGUACAACACAGUACUCAACGUCCUACAUCCGGUCGAGUUCAAGGUUCUUUCUUCAAGCGCACACGAUGCUCUCUAACGUCGAUUAAGACAGGUUUUACACGUUUGCAACCAUAGCUGUUUUUGGCGGCCUGUUCCUUUCUAGUGUUAGUCUAGUCUUGUGUCAAGCUGUCAUUUUAGUUUUAUUAGUUUUAGUUACAUUCAUACUCUUUCCAGUGUCAUCGUAAUUCCAUUUAGAUAUUAUCGAAGUUACAAGUGCGUAGUUUUGUUAAAUAAGGUAAACUGUUGAAAAUUGAUGUUAUGUCUGGAACAGUUGAAGUUCCAGUUGAACAAAAUAACGUUAUAAGUCUUUAUCGCCUAGUUUAGGUCAACGAAAAUGAAGAGACAUUUUAGCAGUCUUAUUUUCGUAAAACACUUUUUAGUCUUGUUUUAUUCGCCAACUAUAUUGUACUAUGCAUUUAAUCACAGCUAUUGUCACACGCCCAGCAUCCACGUUGCGUCCAGUCUCGUUUUUCUCACGCGAUAAAGGUUUGUUGAUGACGACUCUUAGUCAUAAUUUUCAUUGCCAAAAGCAACACUAUUUGCAACUACCGGCGGUGGUGGUUAUCAGGUACUAAAUUCAUAAAGCAAAAUUCGGUUUCAUAACUCAGGUUAACCUGCAGCAACCCCGGCGAGUGUGACCACGUCGGUGGAUCAUCUAGAAAACACUCUUGAGUUCGCUGUCACGUCAGUGGCGUAACAUAGGAAAAUAAAACUCAAGGUUGCAGUGGCAACCCCGGUGAGUGCGUGACCACGUCGGUGGCACAUCAAGGGCACUCGUGAGUAUGACCACGUCGGUGGCACGUUAUCUAGUACUCAUGGUUUGACUGCAGUAACCCCGGUGAGUGCGUUGCCCACGUCGGUGGGAACAACUCAAGCACUCGUGGAUUCGUUGCGCACGUCGGUGCGGUACAACACAGAACUCCACGUUCGCUGCAGCAACCCUGGUAGUGCGUUGACCACGUCGGUGGGCACAACUCAGGCACAUGCAAAUUGAAUUACCAAGUCGGUGGCAUAAUAUCAAAAGCUCAAGUGCAGGGCACUCGGAGUUCAUUGACCACGUCGGUGUUUAACACGGAAGUUCACAAUAUUUGCUGCAGCAACACCGGUGAGUGCGUGACCACGUCGGUGGCACAGCAAGGGCACUCGUGAUUUCGUUGACCACGUCGGUGUUCAACACGGAAGUUCACAAUAUUUGCUGCAGCAACACCGGUGAGUGCGUGACCACGUCGGUGGCACAUCAAGGGCACUCGUGAGUUCGUUGACCACAUCGGUGGUUCAACGCGAAAGCACUCAGGUCACGCAGCGACCCCGGAGAGUGAAUCGACCACGGCAGUUGGUACAGCACGAAAGCACUCGUGGCUCGCUGCGUAACAGCUGCAGAGUGCUCUAGAUUUCAAUUGAUCUCGCUGAUGGUAUUUUUAAGCUCAAUUGCUUUUACGUGAUUCAUCGAUCCCACUGACGGUUUUUAAGCUUAUCGUUUUACAGGAUUUAUGAUUGACUCUUAAUAUGUUGUAUAUUGGGUAUGCCUUUUAUUAUCUUCCAGAAGCAGUAUAGAUCCUUGUCCAUUUCUUCUACGGCG
ensembl:lncRNA